rnacentral:sRNA from 12 species
CCCUGACAGUCGCAUUGGGCGGCUGACACUAGCCACGACAGGAGAAUGACAUG